GCCUCAUUAGCUCAGAGGCAGAGCGUCUCGUAAACAGAAGGUCGCUGGUUCGAUUCCAGCAUGAGGAA
rnacentral:tRNA from 1 species